UACGUAGGGUGCAAGCGUUGUCCGGAAUUACUGGGCGUAAAGCGUGCGCAGGCGGUUCGCUAAGACCGAUGUGAAAUCCCCGGGCUUAACCUGGGAACUGCAUUGGUGACUGGCGGGCUAGAGUGUGGCAGAGGGGGGUAGAAUUCCACGUGUAGCAGUGAAAUGCGUAGAGAUGUGGAGGAAUACCGAUGGCGAAGGCAGCCCCCUGGGCUAACACUGACGCUCAUGCACGAAAGCGUGGGGAGCAAACAGG
rnacentral:rRNA from 1 species